UGACCUCGGAUCAGGUAGGAAUACCCGCUGAACUUAAGCAUAUCAAAUAAGCGGAGGRAA
rnacentral:rRNA from 1 species